UACGAAGGGGGCUAGCGUUGCUCGGAAUCACUGGGCGUAAAGCGCACGUAGGCGGAUCUUUAAGUCAGGGUGAAUCCUGGAGCUCAACUCCAGAACUGCCUUUGAUACUGGGGAUCUCGAGUCCGGGAGAGGUGAGUGGAACUCCGAGUGUAGAGGUGAAAUUCGUAGAUAUUCGGAAGAACACCAGUGGCGAAGGCGGCUCACUGGCCCGGUACUGACGCUGAGGUGCGAAAAGCGUGGGGAGCAAACAGG
rnacentral:rRNA from 1 species